UACAGAGGUCCCAAGCGUUUGUUCGGAUUCAUUGGGCGUAAAGGGUGCGUAGGCGGCGCGGUAAGUCGGGUGUGAAAUCUCGGGGCUUAACUCCGAAACUGCAUUCGAUACUGCCGUGCUUGAGGACUGGAGAGGAGACUGGAAUUUACGGUGUAGCGGUGAAAUGCGUAGAUAUCGUAAGGAAGACCAGUGGCGAAGGCGGGUCUCUGGACAGUUCCUGACGCUGAGGCACGAAGGCCAGGGGGAGCAAACGGG
rnacentral:rRNA from 1 species